CUUGUGAUAAGAGCUCAGCAUCUGCUUCCAAAGGCUCUGCUGCAUCAAAGACUCUGCAUUGCAAGACCAAUGGGCCACCUAGCCUAGACCAGGGCUCCUUUGGUCUUCUUAGCUACCCCUGGACUGCAGACGGCGCAGGUGGGGGAGCGUGACGUCCACAUGGCUCUCCAGCCUGGAUCCCAGACCCUUCUCCUCAGCCUGGGACCCAAAUCCUCCAUUGCAGCUUCUCCACCCUGGAUGGCUUCCAGGAAUCUUGCUCUGGACUGAAUCGUGUCCCUACAGUAUUCAUGUGUGGAAGCCCUAACCCCAGUGCAGCUGGAUUUGGAAAUGGAGCUUCUAAGAAGGCACAGUGAGAAGGUAUCAUCUACAUGCCAGAAAACGGCCCACCGUGGAAACCAAUUCAGCAGCACCUUGAUCUAGAAUUCCAACCUCCAGAGCUGUGAGAAAUUGAAUGUCUGCUGUUUCAGCCGCCCAGCCUAUGGUGUUUUGCUGUGGUAGCCUGAGUUAAGACAACCUAAAAUGCAGUGUCUUCUUCAGAUAACUGAGGAUUUCUCCCACAAAACCUGCCCUCCUCUGUGUUCCUGGUCCCCGACAGCACCACCGCACAUCUGCUUUCCUGGCCAGGAAGCCCCGACCUCUCCUCCUCCUCAGUCCCCUGCAUCUAUAUAGUCACCCCAUGGUGCAGCUUUACGUCCUCCUGAGCCCAUCUCUUACCCUCUGGCUGCUGCCUGGGUGCAAGCUGUCUUAACCUUCAGCCAGUGAUGGCAGCUGCUUUCUAGGUGACUUUCCUGCCCCUAAGUCCUGCCUGCAGCCCCUCAUCCCACCUUAUAUACUGUGGACAUUUUUCCAGAUCCUUCUAAAGAGACUCAUUUGACGAAGUCACCUCACCAUCACACACUCCUGGGCUCCACUGCUGCAGGAAGAGGUGCAGGUUACUCUGCACAAAUGCGCUGGUAUUGACCUUGCCUGCUGGCCUCUCAGUUCACAGAGGCCAUUCUUCCUGCCCUUUCCCACCCUCCCCACCCACAAGACCAGUGACCAAGGCCCAAGUCUGCCAGGCUCCCUGUCUUGCAUGGGAGUCUCUGCACGUGGGCUUUCUUCUCCUUGGAGUAUCUUUUCCUCCCCCACUUCAUUACCUUCCAAUCCCCUCACCUUUGAGCCUCAGCUGAGCUUCUUUAGGAAGUACCUCCCCACCUCCCAGACUCCAAGGCAGCAGUCUCCAGGCCCCUGUGGCUGCUGAACUCCUGAGAUGUGGCCAGUGCCAUUGAAGAAGGGAAUUUCUAAGCUGUGAGUAAAGUAUGCAGCAGAUUCAUCUCAAUUUUAUGUCUAUUACAUAUAGAAUCUUGAAUAACAAUAUUUUAGAUACAUUUAGUUAAAAGGUAUUCUUAAAAUUCAUUUCACAUUUUUAAACUUAAAAAAAAUAUAGC